GUGAGGUUUCUUAAACCGACAGGAAGUUUUCCAUUGAAAGAGUUGUUGUAGAUCUCAAGCCUCCAGAGGUUAACGAGGUUUCCAAUCUCUGCUGGGAUUUCGCCAGUCAUGUUGUUGUCAGAAAGCUCAAUACUAGUUAGCUGUUUAAGGUUUCCAAUCCCAGUUGGAAUCGUUCCUUGCAUGUUGCAAUGGGAGAGGUAAAGCACCGUCAGGUUUGUAAGCUGUAAAACCUC